GAUGAACGCUGGCGGCGUGCCUAAUACAUGCAAGUCGAGCGAACGGACGAGAAGCUUGCUUCUCUGAUGUUAGCGGCGGACGGGUGAGUAACACGUGGAUAACCUACCUAUAAGACUGGGAUAACUUCGGAAAACCGGAGCUAAUACCGGAUAAUAUUUUGAACCGCAUGGUUCGAAAGUGAAAGACGGUCUUGCUGUCACUUAUAGAUGGAUCCGCGCUGCAUUAGCUAGUUGGUAAGGUAACGGCUUACCAAGGUAACGAUGCAUAGCCGACCUGAGAGGGUGAUCGGCCAGACUGGAACUGAGACACGGCCCAGACUCCUACGGGAGGAAGCAGUAGGGAAUCUUCCGCAAUGGGCGAAAGCCUGACGGAGCAACGCCGCGUGAGUGAUGAAGGUCUUCGGAUCGUAAAACUCUGUUAUUAGGGAAGAACAUAUGUGUAAGUAACUGUGCACAUCUUGACGGUACCUAAUCAGAAAGCCACGGCUAACUACGUG
rnacentral:rRNA from 1 species